rnacentral:rRNA from 1 species
UACGUAGGGGGCAAGCGUUGUCCGGAUUUAUUGGGCGUAAAGAGCGUGUAGGCGGCUUUACAGGUCCGUUGUGAAAACUCGAGGCUCAACCUCGAGACGCCGGUGGAAACCGUAAGGCUAGAGUCCGGAAGAGGGGAGUGGAAUUCCUGGUGUAGCGGUGGAAUGCGCAGAUAUCAGGAAGAACACCAACGGCGAAGGCAGCACGCUGGGACGAUACUGACGCUGAGGCGCGAAAGCGUGGGGAGCGAACAGG